CCGAUCUCCAUGUACAGCUACAUGUUUAGGGCCGCUCGGGUUAAUAUAUGUCGUCAGAAGCCGCGGCCGCCAAUGGCCGGGGCGGGGGCGGAGCCCGCCGCCCUCCGCAAUAAAACUUUUUGAUGUUCGCUCUGCUAAUUGCCGAGCUCCUCUUUUAGGAUUGGCUGCCCCUCCGCAUCCCUAAUGUAAUUAAAACAAGGGGGGAAAAAUUAUCAUGGAGGCAGAGGUUAAUGCAAGUGUUUAGCAGAUGCCUUACAGUAAAAUCUGCAUUUAAAAAAAAAAAAAGAAUAAACCCCAAACAACAAAAACCCCCCUACAAACUCGUUAAAACUUAAAUAUCGGAUAAUCUCAAACCAGCUAACUGCCUGCCCUGUGCACCUCCACCAGCCUUCACCGGAGUGACUCGCGCCUGAGACCAAUUUCAGGCUUCUUGAACUCGUCUGAUCGGAAAGUUAAGAAGCCGGAAAACGGAGAGGUGAAUGUCAUACACCUCCCCAGACUUGGAUGGAAACGCAGCUGCGGCCAAAAGGAGUGGGUGUAAAUGCGACAACAAAAAUAAAUACUUUAUAUCACCCUGCAGAACU